GUCUGUCUGAUACUUUUGCCAGGAACAGAUCAGGAAUGCAGUCUCAGAACUUGUUAGGUAACCAGGCACAGAGCAGGGAAGAAUACCUGAAGAAUGCAGCUGCGUGGGAAAUGGGUUUCCCAUCCUGCAAGACUUUUCAAGAUUUUGAGAGAGACAAAGAAGACUAACAUGGCUGCUACUCUGAAACCUGACCCCAUUUAGUCCUUCGUCUCUCAGCCAAGCCUGUCCAAGGAGGGGAGCAGGGAGCGCCCCUCUGUGGAGUGGAUCCCUGUCUACUAGGAACUGCAGAGAGACUCAGGAAAUCCAGCCAAAGGACAUGGAAACUGCUGCUGGAUAAUACAGUGAUGGGGGUAUGAGAGAGAUGAUCAAAGAAUCCUGGCGCUGGAGGAUCAAAAGCAAUGCACGUUGGGAAAAACUCCACAAAGACCAACAGACUACAUUUUUGCUUUCAAUUCUACAUGUGAAGGUAUUAAU